rnacentral:rRNA from 1 species
AUUGAACGCUGGCGGCAUGCCUUACACAUGCAAGUCGAACGGCAGCACGGGGCAACCUGGUGGCGAGUGGCGAACGGGUGAGUAAUGCAUCGGAACGUACCUUUCAGUGGGGGAUAACGUAGCGAAAGUUACGCUAAUACCGCAUAUUCUGUGAGCAGGAAAGCAGGGGAUCGCAAGACCUUGCGCUGAUUGAGCGGCCGAUCUCAGAUUAGCUAGUUGGUGAGGUAAAGGCUCACCAAGGCGACGAUCUGUAGCGGGUCUGAGAGGAUGAUCCGCCACACUGGAACUGAGACACGUUCCAGACUCCGACGGGAGGCAGCAGUGGGGAAUUUUGGACAAUGGGGGCAACCCUGAUCCAGCCAUGCCGCGUGAGUGAAGAAGGCCUUCGGGGUGUAAAGCUCUUUCGGCCGAGAAGAAAUCGCACGGGCUAAUACCCUGUGUGGAUGACGGUACCGGAAUAAGAAGCACCGGCUAACUACGUGCCAGCCGCCGCGGUAAUAC